GCAUAAGUGAGAAAGUCCGAGGUAUGUUCAGAGAAUGGCAACAAUCCAGUUUAAAGAAAAGGGCUCAGAAUUUCAACUAUCAUGAUAUUAAAAGAACUGAUUCAGAGAGGUGGCCAUCCUCUAGACAAGUAGCCCUAUUGAAAGAGGGUUCAUUGUGACACAAGACCCCUCAGAUGCCGGGGUUAUGGAGUACAGCUUGCACUCCUCACUGGACUGGAUAGAGCUGGUGCCAGACAUGGAAAGAGUCAAACCUCAUAGCUGGACCUCAUUUAACACAUGCAUCUGAGCAGGCCACGGAAUCAAACACUUCCUUGAAAGGAAGACAACCUGACUUGAUGGUGGAACAGAGAACUGGAACAAGUGAAUACGGAUAUUUUCACCGAGACAAAUUUUUUAUUUCACUGGAACUUAGAAGCACUCAACUCAGACAUUUGAAAUUGGCUUGUUGUUUUUCUUUGCCAAGAAAGUAAAUUUAGGAGCAUGCAGGUGUUACUGAGAUGCUAUGACAUUGGACUGCCUCAAAAAUCUUUGGGGAAGUAAGUGGCAUAUGAAUAACCAAUAACUAACUAAUCCCUUUCUAGAGAAGCUGGAAGAAAAACAAAAACACAGUGUUGACUUCUUCAUAUUAAUUGUUUGCCUUUGCUUCAUGUUCCCCCUCCACCUCCCACAAUUGCCAGGAUGCUAGGUGACAUUUUUGUGUUUAAUUACCCAAAAGAAACAUGCAAGAAAUGAAUGCCAGAGGAAGAGGGAGGUCCCUAUUCCUGAGUGUCUUGUCAAAAUAACCACCCUCAAGAUCUUUCCUCUUCCUGUGGGAUAUGUGAUGCUUGUUUGAAAUGAACAGAAAAUGAGAUGGAGAAAGCAUAUGGCUGUGAGGGCAGAGAAGGUGGAACAAGGUGAUAUGGCUAAGCAGAAAUGUGUCUCUGCAGUAAGAGUCUCGGUGUCAUUCUUUGGAAUACAGUGGUUCCUAAAGGGUACAUUCCUGGGAAUUCUUCAAACAGAAUUCUCAACCCACACACUUCCAUCCAGGAGCUCCAGCAGAUUGUCUGUUGAUUGAAAGGAAAUGAGCAUCCUCUUCCUUCCUGCAUUGGACACUUUCUCUGGGCUAUCAGCCACUCAAUGGAUGAUGGCCAUAGAGUUUCUCAAUGAGAAUCAUAAUCCCAGCUGUCUGAUCACAAGGCCUGGAAGUCCAGUCUUCAGGAGCUAGCUUGGAAAAGUACCACAUGUCAUGAUUGCUGAUGGAAUGUGACUUUCUUCUCUUGCUCACAAAAAGGGCAAUGUUGUUAAAGCAGGUCAACAAUAUAGAUUUCAAGGACUGAGAUGGUGACUUUUCCCCAUCUUUUUUGCAAAUAGUCAUUUGACGUUGCCUAUGGAGGACAGAUUCAUCAGCAUACUAGCAACCUUCCUUGGACACGUUAGAAGCAGUGUUGGGGUUAGACUUCAUAGUAUCUACCUUCUUGUCAUCACCUCUUUGACAAAUGCCUCCUCGUCUCCAAUUUCCAUGUGCAAGAAUAUUGGUUUUCGUGUGUCGGCUUGAGAUCCUUGAUUUAAAUCCCUGAUUUAUUUUUACUCCUGCCCCUAAUUCCAGUGCAGGAGAGUUC
rnacentral:lncRNA from 1 species